rnacentral:miRNA from 1 species
AAGGGAAGAUGGUGACCAC